ACUCAUGUGGACAACCUUGGCC
rnacentral:snRNA from 1 species